rnacentral:lncRNA from 1 species
GAUCUUUGAUUAUGUCAAAAGUCACUCCAAAAGGAGGGUGUCCACGACAUAGUUGGGGUUAAGCCACUUAGCCAUGGAGGCAAGUGAAUGCGCAACAAGGGAUCUCUAACUUUCAAACUGUUUGAGGGAGAAUACUCUAUGAUAUGAUUAAGAAUCUCUGGCCAGAGUAUGAAUGAGAUUUAGGAAGUUGUUCCAAAUCACAUUCAAGGUAAUCAUAUAAGCACACGAAUCACAUUGGAUAGUAGACAUGAAUAAA